rnacentral:rRNA from 1 species
AGCGAACGCUGGCGGCAGGCCUAACACAUGCAAGUCGAACGAACCCUUCGGGGUUAGUGGCGGACGGGUGAGUAACACGUGGGAACGUGCCUUUAGGUUCGGAAUAACUCAGGGAAACUUGUGCUAAUACCGAAUGUGCCCUUCGGGGGAAAGAUUUAUCGCCUUUAGAGCGGCCCGCGUCUGAUUAGCUAGUUGGUGAGGUAAUGGCUCACCAAGGCUACGAUGAGUAGCUGGUCUGAGAGGAUGACCAGCCACAUUGGGACUGAGACACGGCCCAAACUCCUACGGGAGGCAGCAGUGGGGAAUCUCGCGCAAUGGGCGAAAGCCUGACGCAGCCAUGCCGCGUGAAUGAUGAAGGUCUUAGGAUUGUAAAAUUCUUUCACCGGGGACGAUAAUGACGGUACCCGGAGAAGAAGCCCCGGCUAACUUCGUGCCAGCCGCCGCGGUAAAAC